GGAUGGGCAUGCGGCGCAUUAGCUUGUUGGCGGGGUAACGGCCCACCAAGGCGACGAUGCGUAGGGGUUCUGAGAGGAAGGUCCCCCACACUGGUACUGAGACACGGACCAGACUCCUACGGGAGGCAGCAGUGAGGAAUAUUGGUCAAUGGGCGGGAGCCUGAACCAGCCAAGUCGCGUGAGGGAAGACGGUCCUAUGGAUUGUAAACCUCUUUAGGCGGGGAGCAAUGCCGGGCACGCGUGCCCGGAGGGAGAGUACCCGCAGAAUAAGCAUCGGCUAACUCCGUGCCAGCAGCCGCGGUAAUACGGAGGAUGCGAGCGUUAUCCGGAUUUAUUGGGUUUAAAGGGUGCGUAGGCGGAUUUUUAAGUCAGCGGUAAAAUGUCCGGGCUCAACCCGGGCCGGCCGUUGAAACUGGGGAUCUUGAGUGGGCGAGAAGUAUGCGGAAUGCGUGGUGUAGCGGUGAAAUGCAUAGAUAUCACGCAGAACUCCGAUUGCGAAGGCAGCAUACCGGCGCCCGACUGACGCUGAGGCACGAAAGCGUGGGGAUCGAACAGGAUUAGAUACCCUGGUAGUCCACGCAGUAAACGAUGAAUGCUAGUUGUCCGGUUCUU
rnacentral:rRNA from 1 species